rnacentral:rRNA from 1 species
UAUUUUGGCCAAACCUGUUUGUCAAUGCCCGAGCUCAUCAGAUCUAAGAGGCUAAGCAAGUCCAGGCCUGGUUAGUACUUGGAUGGAAGACUUCUGGGAAUACUAUUAUCAUUAAAAAAG